rnacentral:rRNA from 1 species
CCUACGGGUGGCAGCAGUGAGGAAUAUUGGUCAAUGGACGAGAGUCUGAACCAGCCAAGUAGCGUGAAGGAUGACUGCCCUAUGGGUUGUAAACUUCUUUUAUAUGGGAAUAAAACGUUCCACGUGUGGGAUUUUGUAUGUACCCUAUGAAUAAGGAUCGGCUAACGCCGUGCCAGCAGCCGCGGUAAUCAGGAGGAGCCGAGCGUUAUCCGGAUUUAUUGGGGUUAAAGGGAGGGUAGGUGGAAUGUUAAGUCAGUUGUGAAAGUUUGCGGCGCAACCGUAAAAUUGCAGUUGAAACUGGCAGUCUUGAGUACAGUAGAGGUAGGCGGAAUUCGUGGUGUAGCGGUGAAAUGCUUAGAUAUCACGAAGAACUCCGAUUGCGAAGGCAGUUCACUGGACUGCAACUGACACUGAGGCUCGAAAGUGUGGGUAUCAAACAGGAUUAGAUACCCGAGUAGUC